AUUGAACGCUGGCGGCAGGCCUAACACAUGCAAGUCGAGCGAGCGGCGGAAGGGUGAGUAAUGUAUGGGGACUGCCCGAUAGAGGGGGAUAACUACUGGAAACGGUAGCUAAUACCGCAUACUAUCGGAUAACCCAUAGGGGAUUAGCUAGUAGGUGAGGUACUGGCUCACCUAGGAGACGAUCCCUAGCUGGUCUGAUAGGAUGAUAAGCCACACUGGGACGGAGACACGGCCCAGACUCCUACGGAGGCAGCAGUGGGUAAUAGUGCACAAUGGGCGCAAGCCUGAUUCAGCCAUGCCGCGUGUAUGAAGAAGGCCCUAGGGUUGUAAAGUACUUUCAGUCGGGAGGCGUUACCUACAGAAGAAGCACCGGCUAACUCCGUGCCAGCAGCCGCGGUAAUAC
rnacentral:rRNA from 1 species